rnacentral:lncRNA from 1 species
CUUCAGCUCAGGAAAUGUCAGAUGGGUGGAGAAGAGGAUCUGUAGUAUAAGCAUGCUGUGUUGGGGAAGAGCUAGACUGCAAAGGACUAGGAAUGGGAACACUGAAUUUCCUACCUGACUCUGCACUGGACUUAUUUUAAGACUUUGGCAAAGCUUCUACUAGAGAAACCAGGACUUUGUUAUGGAGAACAGGAGAGGUGCCUGAGGACUGGAAGAAAGCAAAUGUCACUCCAGUCUUCAAAAAGGACGAGAAGGAGGACCCAGAGAACUACAGGCCAGUCAGCCUC